GGGACGAACGCUGGCGGUGUGCUUAACACAUGCAAGUCGAGCGGAAAGGCCCUUCGGGGUACUCGAGCGGCGAACGGGUGAGUAACACGUGAGUAACCUGCCCCUAGCUCUGGGAUAGCUCCGGGAAACCGGGAUUAAUACCAGAUACGACCACUUUAGACAUCUGUCGUGGUGGAAAGGAUUCCGGCUAGGGAUGGGCUCGCGGCCUAUCAGCUUGUUGGUGGGGUAACGGCCUACCAAGGCGACGACGGGUAG
rnacentral:rRNA from 1 species